AGAUUGGAUUAGAAAGAUUGUACUUGAGGAAGAAGCUCUAUUAAAACUAUCAAAUGGGUUAUAUAGUAUGCAAGCCAGAAAAAAUUGGAUAUUUGGAGGGCAUGAAAAGAUGUCUGCUGUUGGAAGCAAAAGAGGACAAAAAGAUACAUAAGCGUUGAAGAACAGGAGAAGACACAGAGAGAUUGAAGAGACUGGAGCACAAUUGCACUAGAAAUGUGUCCAUUGUGAGGCUUUCUCAAGCCCUUGCAGUAGAAAUUUCACCCCUUCUAACUCAGUUAAGAGCACAGUUUUGGCAAUGGUGAUGACAAGCUGGCUUUCCACAGGUAAUAGGUGCCACAGAUGGAUGCCACUGCCAGAUUGUAUCAUCAGUUGUCAAAGAAGAUAAUUCAUUAACAAGAAAAAUUGUUACUCCAAUCUUCUUCAGAGCACUUGUGAUCACAAGAUUUGCUUCAUGGAUAUGGAAAUUGAAUGGAGUGACACAUAUCACAAUGCCAGGGUCUUCAGGAACUCUGCUAUCUUUGAAACAAUGGAGGCAGAGGUGUUUGUCCCUGGGAACCCAAACAUAACACUAUAUGCCCAGCAGAUUGGUCCACUUUUGAUUGCUGAUAGUAUCUAUAGUGCCAUUGCUGCUGUAGAGC